rnacentral:rRNA from 1 species
GACGAACGCUGGCGGCGUGCUUAACACAUGCAAGUCGAACGGUAAGGCCCUUCGGGGUACACGAGUGGCGAACGGGUGAGUAACACGUGGGUGAUCUGCCCUGCACUUCGGGGUAAGCCUGGGAAACUGGGUCUAAUACCGGAUAGGACCACUGCCUGCAUGGGGGGUGGUGGAACGCUUUUGCGGUGUGGGAUGGGCCCGCGGCCUAUCAGCUUGUUGGUGGGGUGAUGGCCUACCAAGGCGACGACGGGUAGCCGGCCAGAGAGGGUGACCGGCCACACUGGGACUGAGAUACGGCCCAGACUCCUACGGGAGGCAGCAGUGGUGAAUAUUGCACAAUGGGCGCAAGCCUGAUGCAGCGACGCCGCGUGAGGGAUGACGGCCUUCGGGUUGUAAACCUCUUUCAGCACCGACGAAGCGCAAGUGACGGUAGGUGCAGAAGAAGGACCGGCCAACUACGUGCCAGCAGCCGCAGUAA